AGAGACAAUUCGACCCCAAGAGGGCAAAUGCAGGUAGGAGAUCAUUAUUACCGAAUGCCCUUUACGACCGUGAAUUGCGUAAAAUAUUGUCGUGGCGGCUGCAUCUAUAAAAACCAACUAAAGGUGGAAGAAUAAAAACGGACGGAUAGAGAUGGAGAAUCACACGAAAGAGGAGUUGCAAGACCCAACCAUGCAAGUUUCAUCUCUUAAUUGCAUCGAUCUCGCCAACGAUGAUCUUCACCGUUCUGUUGUUUCCCUCAAACAGGCAUGUUUGGAUUGUGGAUUUUUCUAUGUGAUCAAUCACGGUAUAAACGAGGAGUUCAUGGAUGAUGUUUUCGAUCAGAGCAAGAAGUUUUUUGCUCUUCCUUUGGAGGAGAAGAUGAAAGUUCUGAGAAACGAAAAGCACAGAGGCUAUACACCAGUGCUUGAUGAAAUCUUAGAUCCUGAGAAUCAAGUUAAUGGAGAUCAUAAAGAGGGUUAUUACAUUGGAAUUGAAGUUCCUAAAGAUGAUCCUGAUUAUGAUAAACCAUUCUAUGGCCCCAACCCUUGGCCUGAUUCUGAUGUAUUGCCUCGGUGGCGAGAAACCAUGGAGAAAUAUCACCAAGAAGCAUUGAGGGUUUCUAAGGAUAUUGGAAGAUUACUGGCGUUGGCACUUGAUUUGGAUGCAAAUUACUUUGAUACCUGGGAGAUGCUUGGAAAGCCUAUUGCAACUAUGCGAUUACUGCAUUAUGAAGGGGUUUCUGAUCCAUCGAAAGGAAUAUAUGCUUGUGGAGCACAUACUGAUUACGGAAUGAUGACUCUAUUAGCCACUGAUGGUGUAAUGGGCCUCCAGAUAUGCAAAGAUAAGAACGCCAAGCCUCAGAAGUGGGAAUAUGUACCGGCGAUUAAAGGUAUUUGUCAGUUUGGUGGAUAUCUUUAUUUUUUUUGUCUACAGCGCAUAUAUAGUGAAUCUUGGCGAUAUGCUGGAACGUUGGAGCAAUGGCUUUUUCAAAUCCACGUUACAUCGGGUUCUUGGGAACGGUCAGGAACGAUAUUCUAUUCCGUUUUUCGUGGAACCAAAUCAUGAAUGUCUGGUGGAGUGUCUCCCAACUUGCAAGUCCGAAAGCAACGUUCCCAAAUAUCCAGCGAUCAAAUGUUCGACAUAUCUCACCCAACGUUACAAGGAAACACAUGCAGAGUUAAGCAUUUACAAUCAAGAAAUAUGAAUACUCUUUUCGAUCAACAUUACAAGGGAGAGUACUGAGAGUAAAUUGGUAGUAUGUAAUAUAAGCUCAAAGCGAACCGUAAUAAAUGUUGUAAGAUAAGUAAAUCUUUUUUUACGGGCACACCAUCUCACAUUACAUUUGCUUAUAUGUCUUGUUUCAACCUAUUCAUCGGUAUAAAAAGGGAAUAAUAAUUUACAGUCCA